rnacentral:ribozyme from 13 species
UGAAAAUUCAUUCAAAUCUUUUAAUGCUUCUAAUCUUUCUGCUUCUUCUUUUUCUUCCAUUUCCUUUUUUAUUUGAUAAGGUACAAAUUUUGGUGGAUUUUUAAUA